CAAAAACUUGAUUGUCAGUUAUUGUAAGGCAGCAUUGCUAAGUCAAGCUGCAAUAUGGGAAAAGAAUAACGUUGAACUCUCUUAACACUAUGUUUUUUUAAAAAAGAAUGGCUGCAAACUGUGAACUAUUGUUUUGCCCACUUAAACUGAUGUUUUCCACUUGAUUUCUCCAUUUGUUCAAGUGCUUAGAAUUGCUUCGUAUUGAAUUUGCUGAUGAAAGGUGUCGGCUCAAAACACGUAGAAAUUCAAGUUACCUAGACACAAAUCAGGUGCCUAAGAGAGAUUCUUUUUCACAGCCUUUGUGCCUCUGCCUUGUCCCAAUCCUCUCACAAUAUAUUCAACUCUUCCUCAGCGAGAUGGACAAGCACACCUUUUGUGGCAUAGAGACAUCGGUUUCUAGAGAUCGGGGUUGAUGGGAUUGGGAUACAUUUCUCUUUUAAUUAUUCUGUUUACUACUUUUCAGCCACUGAUCUGUUUUGGUUUUAUCUACCAGUGGCCUUUGACCUCUAUGCAAAGCCUGGUAAUAAUAGGACAUUAACCCUGAUGAAUCCUAAGAAAUCCUUUUAUCAGUGGAGGCUAAGAGUUCCAUCCGACUAUGUUGUGAGGCUGGUCAUUGUCACCUGGCAUGAUGUGAUUCCUGGGAGCUGUGCAUCUCACAGGUUGUCUGCAUAUGAUUUCCUUCUCCCUCUUCAGAACAAGAUCAUCACAAGAUGGUGUGGAAUAUCUGGGAGUUGGACUCCCC
rnacentral:lncRNA from 11 species